UACGUAGGGUGCAAGCGUUGUCCGGAAUUAUUGGGCGUAAAGAGCUCGUAGGCGGUCUGUCGCGUCUGCUGUGAAAACUCGGGGCUUAACCCCGGGCCUGCAGUGGGUACGGGCAGACUAGAGUGCGGUAGGGGAGACUGGAAUUCCUGGUGUAGCGGUGAAAUGCGCAGAUAUCAGGAGGAACACCGGUGGCGAAGGCGGGUCUCUGGGCCGAUACUGACGCUGGAGGAGCGAAAGCGUGGGGAGCGAACAGG
rnacentral:rRNA from 1 species